rnacentral:rRNA from 1 species
GACGAACGCUGGCGGCGUGCUUAACACAUGCAAGUCGAACGGUAAGGCCUUCGGGUACACGAGUGGCGAACGGGUGAGUAACACGUGGGUGAUCUGCCCUGCACUUUGGGAUAAGCCUGGGAAACUGGGUCUAAUACCGAAUAGGAUCACGGCCUUCAUGGGUGGUGGUGGAAAGCUUUUGCGGGGUGGGAUGGGCCCGCGGCGUAUCAGCUUGUUGGUGGGGUAAUGGCCUACCAAGGCGACGACGGGUAGCCGGCCUGAGAGGGUGACCGGCCACACUGGGACUGAGGUACGGCCAGACUCCUACGGGAGGCAGCAGUGGGGAAUAUUGCACAAUGGGCGCAAGCCUGAUGCAGCGACGCCGCGUGAGGGAUGACGGCCUUCGGGUUGUAAACCUCUUUCAGUAGGGACGAAGCGCAAGUGACGGUACCUAUAGAAGAAGGACCGGCCAACUACGUGCCAGCCGCCGCCGUAAAAC